GAUGAACGCUGGCGGCGUGCCUAGUACAUGCAAGUCGAGCGAACGGACGAGAAGCUUGCUUCUCUGAUGUUAGCGGCGGACGGGUGAGUAACACGUGGAUAACCUACCUAUAAGACUGGGAUAACUUCGGGAAACCGGAGCUAAUACCGGAUAAUAUUUUGAACCGCAUGGUUCAAAAGUGAAAGACGGUCUUGCUGUCACUUAUAGAUGGAUCCGCGCUGCAUUAGCUAGUUGGUAAGGUAACGGCUUACCAAGGCAACGAUGCAUAGCAGACCUGAGAGGGUGAUCGGCCACACUGGAACUGAGACACGGUCCAGACUCCUACGGGAGGCAGCAGUAGGGAAUCUUCCGCAAUGGGCGAAAGCCUGACGGAGCAACGCCGCGUGAGUGAUGAAGGUCUUCGGAUCGUAAAACUCUGUUAUUAGGGAAGAACAUAUGUGUAAGUAACUGUGCACAUCUUGACGGUACCUAAUCAGAAAGCCACGGCUAACUACGUG
rnacentral:rRNA from 1 species